rnacentral:rRNA from 2 species
GCUCACUGAGUUUUUAAAGAGCCGCGGUAUUUUGACUGUGCAAAGGUAGCAUAAUCAUUAGUAUAUUAAUUGUGUACUGGAAUGAAAGGUUUGACGAGAAACAUUCUGUCUCUGUUUUAUAUUUAGAAUUUUACUUCCUAGUAAAAAGGCUGGGAUAAUAUUUUGGGACGAUAAGACCCUAUAGAGUUUGAUUUUAUUUAAUUUAAAUGUUUUGGGUUUGAAUUUUGUAUUUAAAUUUUUUUUGAAAUUUUGUUGGGGUGAUGUGAAUAAUAUUUAAACUAUUCAUUUAUUUUUAUCAUUGAUUUAUGUUUAUUUUUGAUCCUUUAUUAUUGACAUAAGAUAAAAUUACCUUAGGGAUAACAGCGCAAUUAUUUUUGAGAGUUCUUAUUGACAAAAUAGAUUGUGACCUCGAUGUUGGAUUAAGAUUAUUUUUUGGGUGCAGGUGCUUAAUAUUAUUAGUCUGUUCGACUAUU